GAUGAACGCUGGCGGCGUGCCUAAUACAUGCAAGUCGAGCGAACGGACGAGAAGCUUGCUUCUCUGAUGUUAGCGGCGGACGGGUGAGUAACACGCGGAUAACCUACCUAUAAGACUGGGAUAACUUCGGGAAACCGGAGCUAAUACCGGAUAAUAUUUUGAACCGCAUGGUUCAAAAGUGAAAGACGGUCUUGCUGUCACUUAUAGAUGGAUCCGCGCUGCAUUAGCUAGUUGGUAAGGUAACGGCUUACCAAGGCAACGAUGCAUAGCCGACCUGAGAGGGUGAUCGGCCACACUGGAACUGAGACACGGUCCAGACUCCUACGGGAGGCAGCAGUAGGGAAUCUUCCGCAAUGGGCGAAAGCCUGACGGAGCAACGCCGCGUGAGUGAUGAAGGUCUUCGGAUCGUAAAACUCUGUUAUUAGGGAAGAACAUAUGUGUAAGUAACUGUGCACAUCUUGACGGUACCUAAUGAGAAAGCCACGGCUAACUACGUG
rnacentral:rRNA from 1 species